AUGUUACACAUGAAAAAUAUACAUCCAAAUUUCAACAGAUUUACAGGCUUCUUCUUCUCCAUAGUUCUCAAGGCGAGCACAUCAAUACCAACGUCUUCCAAGAAGGUGACAGGAUCGAAAGCUAUAGUUUCAGCGAAGAGAGCAUCAAGAUCGUCAGCGAAGAGAGCACGAAGGUCGUCUAGCACCAGGAGUAUUGUCUUCAACUCUUUCCCAUUACCAAAGCAUCGUUUCGGCAGUGACGGAUUUACAGGCUUCUUUUUCUCCAUAGUUGCCAUGGCGUGCACAUCAAUACCCAAGUUUUCCAAGAAGGUGACGAGAUCGAAAGCUGUGGUUUUAGCAAAGAGAGCAUCAAGGUCGUCAAGAAGCUCUCCCUCACACGACAGUUCAUACUCCAUCUGGUUGGGAAAAGGAAAGUAGCAGUGAUAGCUAGGGCUUGGAAAUCUGGAAACUAGAGAGUAGUACUGUAGUGGUUUACAACACUACAAUAAAAAGACGUUAUUGCGUCUGAUAUCACAGCCGUCGCAAAUAACACAAAAUAUGCGCGCUAGAUGGUGGAGCGAAAAUAAUUGCGACCUUGGCAUUAGUAACGUCGCAAUUAAAGUCGGAAAAAGAUUAGAAAUAACAAUAUGUCGUCUUCAACAAAGGGUUUGCGACGGUCCGAAACGACGGAAUAAAAUUCAGCGCUCAAAUUUUUACAUACGCGCUCAAUUUUCAGAUGAAAUAGCCCAGCGCGUGUUUCCUUUUCCUUUCUAUCCGAAAAAGAAAAAUCUUUUUCUCUCCCUCAACUGUUUCUUUCCCCCAUGGUGCUCCUCUCUCCCUAAUCCAUCCAAUUAGAGAUUCAAUCGGAGAUUCUAGAGAUUCAAUCGGAGAUUCUAGAGCUUAAUCGGAGAUUCUGGAGCACAAUCGGAGUUCUUGUAAGCCACUACAAUCAUCUCCAUCUUCUCUCUAUUCUUAUUCAAUAACUUUUGCUAAGUGAUUUCUAGGGUUCCUCUCAAAUCCGGAAAACAAUUGUUUUUAUUAAUAUUGGAUUGAUUUUUCUAAUUGUUGUUGAUAUGUUUACCUGGAAAGAUUAUGUACGUGAGAUCCCCUCUUUUCUUAUUUCCAAUUUUUGUUGUCGUUUACUUUCAAGUGAGUUUUGAGAUAUACAAGGAUUCAUUUUUCGUUUCAGUAUGGGUGGUAACGGAAUUUGAUCUGGAACUCAUUAGAUUUUGCUAAAAUAUAUUUUUUAGAUAAAUUCAGAGUUGUGUUUUUUUCAACUGGAUUUUAAGUUUUAGUAGAAACACAGAACCACUUUUGGUGUAGCUAAUGGGAUUGUUUAGUUUUGGAUUAGUUUGGAAAAUUGUUUAACUUUUGCGUAGCUAAUGGGACUUUGUAGUGUUGAAUUAGUUUGAAAACUUGUAAAACUACAGGGAGUAUGAGUUUGGUAAAUUUAAUGAGUCUUUGACUCUUUGUAGGGUACAAUUUCCCACACUUUUUCUUUCGGAAUAAAUCUGAAUUGUUCGUGAUUUUAGGAGUUUUAGCAAUGUUUGUUGCCAGGACAUUAUCAAGAUUUGUUUCUGAUAGAUUCAGCAACAUGCUUGGGAUCUUUUUUGAGGUUGAAAAUUAAGAUUUUGAAUCAGAUGUAAGCUGUGGAAGUUUUUGUUAGGGUAGGAUCAGUGUUGUAGUUCAUAUACUUUGGAUUCGCAACAGAUAUCAGAACAGGGUGCUUAAUACAUAUCUUGGUAAUGAGUUUGAGAGUCAUGACUCUUAUGUCUAAGCAUCCAAGGAUUACAUAUGCAAACCUGUACUAGGUGAUUAUAGUUCUGAAUAAUUUACUCAGCCUAUUAUAUGAAUUUAGCUCAUCAAAUUAUUUGCAAAUGAAGAGCUUGUACAAAGACCAUCACUGGCUUUCCUAAACUACGUGGGAGAUAGCAUGGAUUCUUUAAUGAAGACAGCAAUUAAGGGGCAUGAUUACUUGUAUUUUCAGCUUGCUGGUGUGUUGCAGUUGAGUUCACUGCCCUGCCAUUGUUUUCUUUUUUCCAGGCAGGAAGGUAUGUUGUGGCCACUGACCACUUAUUUCAAGAACACAUAGCUAGUUUUCAUCUGUUUUUUGUAUUUUUUCUUAGGAUUCUAAAAUUUCUCCUAAGGAAGGACGACUUACAGGUGCUAAACGAGGUGCACCACAUUUUAGGGAAAAGUUCUAUAGAAUGGGGCUAUUGACAAGGAUAUUUUUGCACUAUAUGGGGGUGAUACAUUGGUAAUUCUCCCUCCUUGCACUACAUGGGCGUGAUACACUGGGGGUUGCUGAAACUUCCGACAUAUGCAGCUUUAGUGGAGGAUCCUGAGUUCUGUAAAUAUAUUGAUCUGUAUGCAAAGGUUUUGGCUAAUGACUACAUGAUGCCAUGGAUGUAUAAUGUAUAGGACCAUUCAACUAACUUGAAGUAAAAGUGGAGCGUUGCUUUCAUAGUUUUAUUGGUACUUGUAUAUGAUAAUACACUGUACAAUGAUUUACAUUAAUUAUAGUUCAUUAUUAACAACAAUUCUUCGUA